GACAUUAAUCUGUUCAACUAAAUGCACUCUGAACUACAAACAUACUUACAUCUGGUACAAGAACGGACGACAGGUAACAGAUGGAUUCACUAAAGACAACAAGCUGUACCUGGACUCAGUCAGCAAUGAAGAGCUUCACCAGUAUUCCUGUGCUGUAGAAGUGGACAGCACAGCGUUCAGUCAUUAUACAGUCACUCUGCUGGUGUUUUUACCUCAGUUUCUCAUAAUAGCGGCUCUGUGGAUGUGGUUUUUCAUCAGAAUGCAUCUCAAUUCAAAACUAAGCUGAAAACAAAAGUGAAGAUUCUGAUGUUCCAGAUGUCUUCAUCUACAUCUGCUGUCUGUCCAUCAGAGUGAUGUCACUAUGUUCUUCCAUUGUGACAUCAUCACCUAGCAACAGUCAGGACUGUCAGUAGCAACAUCAGAGAUACAGUGAUGUCAUAGACAGAGACAUAUCAUUUAUUGUCUAGUCUGCAUAAUCAAACAAAUCCAAAAAAAAAACCAAAACUAUAGUCCUGGGUUUAGCUAAAAAAAACUCUUUAAAUAUCCCUUAAAAUCCAAAGUGGUACAACUUUUGUGUAUAAUAUUUUAUGAUUUCUUUAUUUCUGUAUAAGUGCAAAUUUUAUUUUAUAUAAAAAUGGAUGAACUGUAACCACAAUAAUGAUGCUCAGACAUCAUUUAAUAAGCAGACAAACUGGUUAUUAAAAAGAUUUGUUCUAAUAUAGUAAUAGUAGAAGGUGUGAAAUUUAAAUGUUUAAAGGUCUGGUAAAUGUUAACUGGUCACCAUCAUAUUUGUCCACAAUCAGAUGAGCAGUUUUUUUUCUUUUUUUUUCUGUUUUAUCAUAUUGUGUCAAUCUUCCAUCAUGCACUUGAACACAAAAAUACCAAAAAUUAUUAUUAUAAUUUACACUGCAAUGACAUGAGUGUACCUAUUUUGUCAUGAGCAUUAAAAAAAAAAAAAAUCUGAUAAAAGAAAACGCAAUUCCUAAAGUCACGUUGCUCUAUCCUUUACUGCUAUAUCUUUCAAAAAAAUAAAUAAAAUAAUAAAAAUAAAAAAAAUAAAACUGCUUCACUACUUAACAUUUGAGUAAAACAAUUAAAAAUAUACAUAUAUAUAUAUAUUAGUAUCAUAGAGGACCCUGGCAGACACUAAUGUGUGUGAUGGUCAAUAAAUCACUUCAAAUAUCAGAGAAAUUGUAUAUUUUUUGUUAGUUACAUCCCAUUUUAGAGUCAUUAAAUUAACUUUGCUGAAAGUGGUGUAAUGAUUUUCAAAACCGUAUGAAAUCAAUAAAUGUAUUUCUGUAAAAUUUAAA